ACAGAGUCUCCCUAAGUUGUCUACGCUGACCAUGAACUUGAGACUCUCCAGCCUCAACCUCCCGAGUCUCUGGGAUGACAGGGUCAUUCUGAUGGCUGAUGCCCUGGAGGCACUUCUGGGAAUACUUCAAACUCCAGGGCACAGGGAUUGAAGACCACCGACAGGCUCCACUUACAAGUCACCUUCCAUGAGAGUAGAGUGAAACAGACAUUAUGACCUCAGGUAAUCAGGUCUCGAGGGAUCUACCUUCAUGAAUGAAUUAAUCCAGUCACAGAUUAACGGGUUACUAAGGGAAUGCCUCUAUUGUCAAAGCAAGCUGUCUCUGACACAUCUGCCCACUCGAUGCCCUCCGUCAGGCAACGAUCCAGCAGAAGGGCCCUCACCAGAGGCUGAGCAGAUGCCGGGACCCUACUCUGGGACUGCCCCUCUCCAGAACUGUGACCCAAA